rnacentral:rRNA from 1 species
AUUGAACGCUGGCGGCAGGCCUAACACAUGCCAGUCGAGCGGAUGAAGGGAGCUUGCUCCUGGAUUCAGCGGCGGACGGGUGAGUAAUGCCUAGGAAUCUGCCUGGUAGUGGGGGAUAACGUCCGGAAACGGGCGCUAAUACCGCAUACGUCCUGAGGGAGAAAGUGGGGGAUCUUCGGACCUCACGCUAUCAGAUGAGCCUAGGUCGGAUUAGCUAGUUGGUGGGGUAAAGGCCUACCAAGGCGACGAUCCGUAACUGCUCUGAGAGGAUGAUCAGUCACACUGGAACUGAGACACGGUCCAGACUCCUACGGGAGGCAGCAGUGGGGAAUAUUGGACAAUGGGCGAAAGCCUGAUCCAGCCAUGCCGCGUGUGUGAAGAAGGUCUUCGGAUUGUAAAGCACUUUAAGUUGGGAGGAAGGGCAGUAAGUUAAUACCUUGCUGUCUUGACGUUACCAACAGAAUAAGCACCGGCUAACUUCGUG